rnacentral:rRNA from 7 species
ACGGGUGAGUAACACGUGAGCAACCUGCCCCUGACUCUGGGAUAAGCGCUGGAAACGGUGUCUAAUACUGGAUAUGUCCCAUCACCGCAUGGUGUGUGGGUGGAAAGAUUUUUCGGUUGGGGAUGGGCUCGCGGCCUAUCAGCUUGUUGGUGAGGUAAUGGCUCACCAAGGCGUCGACGGGUAGCCGGCCUGAGAGGGUGACCGGCCACACUGGGACUGAGACACGGCCCAGACUCCUACGGGAGGCAGCAGUGGGGAAUAUUGCACAAUGGGCGCAAGCCUGAUGCAGCAACGCCGCGUGAGGGAUGACGGCCUUCGGGUUGUAAACCUCUUUUAGCAGGGAAGAAGCGAGAGUGACGGUACCUGCAGAAAAAGCACCGGCUAACUACGUGCCAGCAGCCGCGGUAAUACGUAGGGUGCAAGCGUUAUCCGGAAUUAUUGGGCGUAAAGAGCUCGUAGGCGGUUUGUCGCGUCUGCUGUGAAAUUCCGAGGCUCAACCUCGGGCUUGCAGUGGGUACGGGCAGACUAGAGUGCGGUAGGGGAGAUUGGAAUUCCUGGUGUAGCGGUGGAAUGCGCAGA